AGAGUUUGAUCCUGGCUCAGAACGCAUGCUGGCGGCGUGGAUAAGACAUGCAAGUCGAACGAGAGAAUUGCUAGCUUGCUAAUAAUUCUCUAGUGGCGCACGGGUGAGUAACACGUGAGUAACCUGCCCCCGAGAGCGGGAUAGCCCUGGGAAACUGGGAUUAAUACCGCAUAGUAUCGAAAGAUUAAAGCAGCAAUGCGCUUGGGGAUGGGCUCGCGGCCUAUUAGUUAGUUGGUGAGGUAACGGCUCACCAAGGCGAUGACGGGUAGCCGGUCUGAGAGGAUGUCCGGCCACACUGGAACUGAGACACGGUCCAGACACCUACGGGUGGCAGCAGUCGAGAAUCAUUCACAAUGGGGGAAACCCUGAUGGUGCGACGCCGCGUGGGGGAAUGAAGGUCUUCGGAUUGUAAACCCCUGUCAUGUGGGAGCAAAUUAAAAAGAUAGUACCACAAGAGGAAGAGACGGCUAACUCUGUGCCAGCAGCCGCGGUAAUACAGAGGUCUCAAGCGUUGUUCGGAAUCACUGGGCGUAAAGCGUGCGUAGGCUGUUUCGUAAGUCGUGUGUGAAAGGCGCGGGCUCAACCCGCGGACGGCACAUGAUACUGCGAGACUAGAGUAAUGGAGGGGGAACCGGAAUUCUCGGUGUAGCAGUGAAAUGCGUAGAUAUCGAGAGGAACACUCGUGGCGAAGGCGGGUUCCUGGACAUUAACUGACGCUGAGGCACGAAGGCCAGGGGAGCGAAAGGGAUUAGAUACCCCUGUAGUCCUGGCAGUAAACGGUGCACGCUUGGUGUGCGGGGAAUCGACCCCCUGCGUGCCGGAGCUAACGCGUUAAGCGUGCCGCCUGGGGAGUACGGUCGCAAGAUUAAAACUCAAAGAAAUUGACGGGGACCCGCACAAGCGGUGGAGUAUGUGGCUUAAUUCGAUGCAACGCGAAGAACCUUACCUGGGCUUGACAUGUAAUGAACAACAUGUGAAAGCAUGCGACUCUUCGGAGGCGUUACACAGGUGCUGCAUGGCCGUCGUCAGCUCGUGUCGUGAGAUGUUUGGUUAAGUCCAGCAACGAGCGCAACCCCUGUUGCCAGUUACCAGCACGUGAAGGUGGGGACUCUGGCGAGACUGCCCAGAUCAACUGGGAGGAAGGUGGGGACGACGUCAGGUCAGUAUGGCCCUUAUGCCCAGGGCUGCACACGUACUACAAUGCCCAGUACAGAGGGGGCCGAAGCCGCGAGGCGGAGGAAAUCCUAAAAACUGGGCCCAGUUCGGACUGUAGGCUGCAACCCGCCUACACGAAGCCGGAAUCGCUAGUAAUGGCGCAUCAGCUACGGCGCCGUGAAUACGUUCCCGGGUCUUGCACUCAACGCCCGUCA
rnacentral:rRNA from 1 species